ACCCAAUGAUUGGAUGUUUAAACACAUUGUAAUUAUCCAUUAUACUAAACUCAUAUUAUUCAAUCCAGACAAAUUAUAUUUAAAAUCAUGUCUUGAAUGAUGAUGGUUUUUGGAAAUGCGUGUUGAUUCACAGCACAUAAACUUCAUACAGUAAUUGCUUUAAUCACUUUUUUCUUAAUCAUCUAUAUGCAUUAGAGUUAAUAAUUUGUCUAAUUUGUACUUAAGCACAUCCUAAUUUAACGACUAAUCAGAUUCUCAAAACGCCUCGCGUGCGUCAUUAGAUUGAACAAUACAUAUCAGUUUCGCAAUUAUUACAAAAUUAAAGAUAAAUUUAAAAUUAAAAAUAUUAUUAAAUGCAGCAAAUAAUAACAUGAUUUGACUUUUGCUAAAAAAAAAUGUUAAG
rnacentral:misc_RNA from 1 species